AAACUACUCCCUCCGUUCCGAAUUACUUGUCUUGGAUUUGUCUAGAUACGGAUGUAUCUAGACUCAUUUUAGUGCUAGAUACCUCCGUAUCUAGAUAAAUCCAAGACAAGUAAUUCAGAACGGAGGGAGUACAUC
rnacentral:pre_miRNA from 1 species